AUACAGAGGACACGUUUCGCCGUGUCACCGUGUGCUGUGCUGGGGUGUGUUCACUUUCACCGCCACCUUUCCAGGAAACGGCCUGCCUCUUCUGCACUUCCUGCCCUCACCCGCAGAAGAGCCUUUGGUUUGUGCCUGAACUUGAUGCCCAGCUGUAAAAGAAGCAGAAUGUGAUACUUACGCAUUUCCUUUCCCGCUCCUAUGGUUUCAUUUUUCUUUGAUCCAUGAGUGGUCAAGAAUGAAUAAAUGAGCUCUACGCAUGUUCUGCCAGUUUGGUUUCUGUUCUGACGUUCUGGGCAUCCUGCUGAUGAAGUAAAGUAGGAUCCUUCUACAAGAAAUGAGAUUACGAAACAUUUACUCAGUCGAAUAAAACAGGCCGGUGAGGAAUUUAUUUAGGGGAGUCCAUCCUGGCCGCCUCGCGUGCUUCACUUAUCGCCUACUAUUCAGGACCCGAGGUCUAUUUCCAGCCGCCGGACACCGGGCAGAUAAAGCUGGCAUCCGAGCGUGGGCUGUUCUCUCGGCUCCAGAGGACUUUCCUGCUCACCACUUCAGCAGUUUGGAGGGACCGCUCACGUCUGCGAAUGUGAGUACAUCAGACCGACAGCUUCUAAACGCCGGUCAUAACUUGAGUCUCGUCGCCAAUUAAGGGUUUUGGCCUUUUUUUCGUUUACAAGAGGAAGCCUGCCACUCCUGCCUAUCCAUGGCGGCCAGCGUCCGCCGCAGCUCCCUCACCGGCCGCCUCCAGCACCACGGAGGCCAAGCUGAACAUCCUGGAGAACAAGCUGGAUGAGCUGCUCCGGCAAGGCGGCGGCUGCUUGAUGUGCCGGACGUGUGAGCGCCAUGCCAAGCAGCAGGAGGCCGUGGGCACGAUGCUCUCGGCACAAGCCCAGGUCCUGGACUCGCUCCACAGGAAGGUUCUGGACAUACAGAAGGCCCUGGACGGCCUGGGCCCAGAUCUGAACAGGAAGCAGAUGACCACUGCGGAGAAGAUUCCUUUUCCCGCUGGCAUUCAGCAGAGGAGGAAAUCCCUCCCCAUGAGGACGUUAAUGGAUGAAGUGUACGUGCACCUGGACGCAGACAGGGGUCAACACCACGUCCUAGCGCCGCCUGCCAGGACAGCCGACCUUGGCACUGCGGGCUUAUUUGGACGCAAUGGAGCAAGCAUUGACGAAGAGAAAAAGGUGCAGGUUAAAGGUCACCAUUCAUCUGUCCAGUUAGCCAGUAGUAACCAGGAGGUGAGGCCUGUGAAACCAUCUGGACCUCCACCCUCUGACCCACUUCCAUCCAAACAGGACACAUUGAUGAACCAACCUAAACCCAACCAGGAAGGGUUCUCCCUUGAUCCCAAGCCAAAAGCUCCACUGUUCACCAAAGUGGUUCCUCCCCUGGAGAAGAGCUGCAAUUCAGGGAAAGAAGGUCCACCACGCACCGACCAGAAACUGAGACCGCAGAGUCCCGCGCCCAAGCCGGUUCUCACCCCAAAAGGUGCUGCUCCUCUGGUCAAGACCUGCCCACCCAGAGUGGCCGCGCAGAUACGGACCCCAGCCGGCUCGGACGCGGAGCGAAGCAAGAACCCUCCCGCAACCUGUACGCAGGUCAACGAGAAUAAAACGGCGUCUCCAGCGAGCCCUGCUCAGCCGAAAGUGGCAGGAAUGUCAGUCCCAUUAUCGCCAGCAGACGGGUCACUUAGACAUGCCCACAGCUGUCCAGAGGCUUUACAGAGACUACAGAGUUCUGGGCCGAAGCAUGAACCUGUCCCCAAAGUGACACCUCCCCUGGUGAAGGCCAGCACGCCAGGAGCUCUGGUUCCUGCCGGCGGAAUACAGAUCCGAGUGAGCCCGGCUGUGGAGCCAAAAGCCACCAAGAGCACCGCCGCCUCUCCGCCCAGAGUCACCCAGAAGGUCAUAGACACAGUCACAUUUAUUAAUCCGUUUCAUCGCAUUUUAUGUGUCUUCGGCCACCGAAAGUGCAGUCCCAUUCAUCUAGAAAAGAGCCG
ensembl:lncRNA